CAGAGUUGCAAAACUCCCACAAACCAUCGCGAAUCUUACCCGUACGGUUGCCUCGGCGCUGGCGGUCCGGAAGGCCCUCGGGCCCCCCGGAUCCUCGGGUCUCCCGCUCGCGGGAGGCUGCCCGCCGGAGUGCCGAAACCAAACUCUUGAUAUUCUAUGUCUCUCUGAGUAAACUUUUAAAUAAGUCA
rnacentral:misc_RNA from 1 species